GAUCAGGUCCUGGCUGAUUGCAUAUAUUUGAUCAUUUAUGCUAAUAUUGCACUCGCCCCGGCCUGAUC
rnacentral:pre_miRNA from 1 species